ACUAAGCAUAUCAAUAAGCGGAGGAAAAGAAACCAACAGGGAUUGCCCUAGUAACGGCGAGUGAAGCGGCAACAGCUCAAAUUUGAAAUCUGGCGCAAGCCCGAGUUGUAAUUUGUAGAGGAUGCUUCUGGGUAGCGACCGAUCUAAGUUCCUUGGAACAGGACGUCAUAGAGGGUGAGAAUCCCGUAUGUGACCGGCCCGCACCCUUUACGUAGCUCCUUCGACGAGUCGAGUUGUUUGGGAAUGCAGCUCUAAAUGGGAGGUAAAUUUCUUCUAAAGCUAAAUACCGGCCAGAGACCGAUAGCGCACAAGUAGAGUGAUCGAAAGAUGAAAAGUACUUUGGAAAGAGAGUUAAAAAGCACGUGAAAUUGUUGAAAGGGAAGCGCCUGCAACCAGACUUCGCGGCAGUGUUCCGCCGGUCUUCUGACCGGUUCAUUCUCUGUCGCGAGGCCAUCAUCGUCUGGGCCCGCCGGAUAAGACCUUAGGAAUGUAGCUCACCUUCGGGGGAGUGUUAUAGCCUAGGGUGAUGCGGCGAGGCUCGGGCGAGGUCCGCGCUUCGGCAAGGAUGAUGGCGUAAUGGUUGUCGGCGGCCCGUCUUGAAACACGGACCAAGGAGUCUAACAUCUAUGCGAGUGUUCGGGUGUCAAACCCCUACGCGUAAUGAAAGUGAACGGAGGUGGGAACCGCAAGGUGCACCAUCGACCGAUCCUGAUGUCCUCGGAUGGAUUUGAGUAAGAGCAUAGCUGUUGGGACCCGAAAGAUGGUGAACUAUGCCUGAAUAGGGUGAAGCCAGAGGAAACUCUGGUGGAGGCUCGCAGCGGUUCUGACGUGCAAAUCGAUCGUCAAAUUUGGGUAUAGGGGCGAAAGACUAAUCGAACCAUCUAGUAGCUGGUUCCUGCCGAAG
rnacentral:rRNA from 1 species